rnacentral:tRNA from 1 species
GGCUUAAAGAAAAUAUUUGAGUGCAAAUCAAAUGGUGGGUUUAAUGGCCCUAAGUCU